GAUGAACGCUGGCGGCGUGCCUAACACAUGCAAGUCGAGCGGACAGAUGAGGCGCUUGCGCCGCUGUCGUUAGCGGCGGACGGGUGAGUAACACGUGGAUACCCUACCUAUAUGACUGGGAUCACUUCGGGAAACCGGCUCUAACACCGGAGGAUCUAUUGAACCGCGGGGUUCAAUAGUGAAAGUCGGCUGUUCUGGCACUAAUAGAGGGUUCCGGGCUGCAUUAGCUAGUUGGUACGGUAACGGCCUACCAAGGCUAGGAUGCGUAGCCGACCUGAGAGGGGGGUCGGCGACACGGGAAGGGGGACAGGGUCCAGGCGCCUGCGGGAGGCAGCAGAAGGGAAUCUUAGGCAGUGGGCGAAAGCCUGGCGGAGCAAGGGGGCGUGAGUGAUGAAGGUCUUCGGAUCGUAAAGCUCGGUUAUGGGGGAAGAACAAAUGUGUAAGUAGAUGUGCACGUCUUGACGGUAACUAGUCAGGAAGCAACGGCUAACUACGUG
rnacentral:rRNA from 1 species